GAGGCAAAAACAAAAAACAACUCUUUAAAAAAUAGCUCAUACAGACAAAUAAACAACAAAACAUGACCAUGUGUGACAAGUAAGAAUUAGGCAUUAAACCUGGGAGUGGAUGAAAAAUGAUUAGGGACUCUGUUAUCAACACUGAUGAAUCCAAGCUCCCAGCCUUUGGCAAAAAGCAACCCUUCUCAUUCAUUUAACAGACGUGUACUGAGCCAAACACUGUACUAAAAGCUGGGAUGCAGUAGCAAAGAAGGCUCUCCUAGAGCUUAUUUCAUUCCCCACCCACCUUCCAAGGAAACUACAUCCUACCCAGUACCACAGCUGGUCAUUAUCGUGAUGCUCUACCUCAAGGACGAUGGUCAAUGCUUCAUACAUUUGGCACAUUGUCAACUACGUGGCCUAUCAAACUUUAAGCACUUUAAACUAGACCAGAACAUCAAUAAAUUAAAAUAUUACCUAGACCAGAAAACAAAGCUAAAAAUGAAAAAUAACACAGAAAAUUUUUUUAACUAUUUAAUAUUAAAAAGCAUACCUCCCAUAUAACUUCAAUACCUACUCCAAAAUAAUAACAAUGAGAACAUCAUAUGCAGACUUAUGGGAUAUGGUUAAAACUUCAGUUUUUUUCUAAUGAGGGAAACGCACACCUAACAGAAAGCACUCUCAAUAAACAGUGUAAUCCUCAAAGGUUGGGGUGGGGUGGCAAUUGGAGGGAGAAGCAGGGAAUAUUGGAAUAUCUGUGAAAAAGCCCUCCCGGAUAUUAUAAUUAGCCACCCUCCCCACUCUCAGGAUGGUUGAAAACUACUGUUUUACUGGGAGAAAAACUCUAAAUACUUUUAUUAUGUUUUUUAAAAGAAUUUUUAAAAAUUUGACUGUAUAUUCCUCUUGAUAUUGACAAAGCAAACCUAAGAAAAACAGGGAACUAUAAUCAAAAAGAUAACAUCGAAAGCUAAAGAAUUACAAGACAGAAAAUACAGGAUAUUUUAUAAAUCUAAGAGUUGUCUUUGAAAGGUAAUAAACAGAAGAUCGCGAGCUCUUACCAAGAAAAAGAGGAACACAAACACAUACAAUUAAAAUUGAUGUAGACAAAGAAAAUACUCUAAGAUUUAAAUGUAUUGUUCUCUUUCAUUUUAAAAACGUUAAAACUGCAGAUGAUUUUCUAGGAAAAUAUUACUAAAUUUGCCUCACUAUGUGGUAGAAAACAUAAGGGAAGAAGUUCUAGAGCCAGACAGUUGGUGUUCCAGCUCUGUCACUUACUACCCAUGUGACCCUAGAAAAGAGACUAAUCUGUGCUCAGUUAUCUCAACGGUAACUGACGUGGGGAUGAUGCACGAACCUCAAAAGGUUGUUGAGAGGGUCAGAUGAGAUAACACUCGUGUAGGAGAAAUGACAAACUGGGGAAAAUGUUUACAAUAUAUGACAUAUGAAAAGCUCUUACAAAUUAAUAAGAACAAAUGAACACAGAACAUCAAAAAGAAAAAAACACCCCCAAAACAAACAAAAGGGCAAAAGAUAUGAACAAUACAAAUUCCAAAAGAAAUAAAAAUGGGCAGCAAACAAUGUCCUGUCUAUAGUCUCUGAGCUGGGAUGAAUGGGGAAAUGGGAGCAAAAAUUACUCUCAUUCACGGCUGAUGGAAAAAAAUUUAUAUAGCAUGCUUGGAGGGCAAUUUGGAAAUAUGUACCAAAAGCCCUAAAAAUACACAUAUCUUUUGAUUUAGCAAAUAAUCCCCUAGAAGUUAUCCUAAAGAAACUGUAAAGGAUAUAAACAAAAAUUUAGCUUCAAGAAUGUUUAUAUGGUGAAAAAUGAGUAACAACUUAUUCAUCAAAGGGGAUGUUAAUGCACUGUUACUAUUCUUCCAUUAAAAAUCAUGUUGUAGAUUAAUAUUUGUUGACAUGGAAAAUUACUAAUUCCCAUAUAAUGUUCAUAAAAUGAAUAAUAAACUGGGCUACAGAAAGCUCCUCCAUAAUACCCCAAAGCAAAAACUGCAUAGGUACUCUUACACAAUGCAAUCAAAGUAUAUCCUAAGCAACUCUUGGGCAAAACAAGAAAUCAAAAUUGCAAUUUAAAAACAUCCAGAAAACAAUGAGAAUAAGAGAGCAUGAUAUAUCAAAUAUUAUGGAGUAACAGCCAAAGUUAUAAUCAGAAAUAAAUCUAUGAGGUUAGAAAAUCUAUUUAUGCACCUGAAGAAAGCAGAAAGAACAUAUAAGGUUAAAAGCAAAAAUUAAUCAAUAAAGUUAAAAAGAUCAAUUUUAGAAGUAUAUCAAAUUCCAUAUCUUACAAAGAAUAUAUUCAAAACCUCAUGUCCAUUGCUGAGGAAUUUAUAAUAGUAAAACACUGACAUCAAAUUAAUGAUUAAAAAGAGGUACUUGGUUAAAUACAUUAGGAAAUAUCCAUAUAAAAGAAUUUAAUGCAGAUAUUUUUAAAGUAUAUUUUAGUAGCUUCUUUAAUGAUGUGGGGGAAAGGUGCAAGAUUUAUCAAGUGAAAAAAUUAAGUUUUAAAAUAUGACUAUAAAGACGCAUGUUAUAGUCUCAAGUUGAGGCCAAAAAUUGUGUACAAAAUUGUGGUCACGUAUUUUUGUGAGAGAGAAGAUCUAUAACUUUCAUUAGAUUCACAAAGAUAUCUGUGACCCUAAAAAGGUUAAAUGCCAGUAACAGACAUCAAAAUGGGCUCCCUGUGCUAAUUUCUCAGUGGUGAGAUCAUAGAGAUUUUAACUUUCUUCUCUAUGCUUUUCUAUAAAUUACUAACUUUUAUAUAAUAAACAUGUAUACUUUUUAUUAAUAAAAGGGAAAAUUAGUUUUUUAUUAUUGUUCUAUAAUUUUAAAGUCUCAUUUAAAAAGACACCUCUCUCCCUCUCCGUAAGCACACACGCAUGCACAAAAACACAGCUUAGCGGAGUCUCAGAUGUAGGAUAGAACUUCUAAUUCUUAGAAUUCUUCAAGUCAUUCCAAAGAACCUAGGCAAUUACGAGAGAUCAACUGAGUGAUGUUCAUCAAAUUUAGAAAGAUUUGCUUAAAACACAUCUGUGUGACUAGAGACAACAAAUCCUGUAUAUUGCUGCCAGAUCAUCCUGUCAUUUUAAUUCAAGCAGCUGAGAAGAGCUAAUGAGAAGAGGGAGUGGUGGAGAUGGCAGCCGUGAGAGGUUCUGAGGGACAGGCACAACGACAGCAGCUUCAAGCCAGGAUUUCCUGAGGAUGAAAAGACUUCAGUGCUCUGGUAAACAUACAAAGCAAUUUGCACUCAUACUUCAAAAUCAAGCCUUUGAGGGAAAGAAGACUGCAGCCUAGUUUUCACAUGCAUACUCCUCUCUAGAGUUAAGGUUCGAGAGUCACAAAAAGACACCAAUU